rnacentral:misc_RNA from 1 species
UGUGGCAGCUGGAGGCC